rnacentral:rRNA from 1 species
UUUCUUACACCGAAUGCUUGCAUUCAUCGUAAGAAGUUGAGUGGCGGACGGGUGAGUAACACGUGGGUAACCUGCCUAAAAGAAGGGGAUAACACUUGGAAACAGGUGCUAAUACCGUAUAUCUCUAAGGAUCGCAUGAUCCUUAGAUGAAAGAUGGUUCUGCUAUCGCUUUUAGAUGGACCCGCGGCGUAUUAACUAGUUGGUGGGGUAACGGCCUACCAAGGUGAUGAUACGUAGCCGAACUGAGAGGUUGAUCGGCCACAUUGGGACUGAGACACGGCCCAAACUCCUACGGGAGGCAGCAGUAGGGAAUCUUCCACAAUGGACGCAAGUCUGAUGGAGCAACGCCGCGUGAGUGAAGAAGGUCUUCGGAUCGUAAAACUCUGUUGUUAGAGAAGAACACGAGUGAGAGUAACUGUUCAUUCGAUGACGGUAUCUAACCAGCAAGUCACGGCUAACUACGUGCCAGCAGCCGCGGUAAUACGUAGGUGGCAAGCGUUGUCCGGAUUUAUUGGGCGUAAAGGGAACGCAGGCGGUCUUUUAAGUCUGAUGUGAAAGCCUUCGGCUUAACCGGAGUAGUGCAUUGGAAACUGGAAGACUUG